rnacentral:misc_RNA from 1 species
AAGUGAGCUUGCCAUUCUUCUUGUUUGCCAUAAUGAGGCAAAUAUUGCUUUACUCCAAGAUUAGCCUUGGAGCAGAAAUCUAGAAUUUUUUGGUUUUGGGUUAAAAUCUGUUGCAAGCCGUCUUUGCCUGUGGAAGAUGGUGCUGCGGAGGAGAGGAAUGCCACUAUAUAGAAAAUAUCUUCUGCUGGGGUUAUUAAAGAUGUUCGAUUGUUCCACUUGGACUUGUUGA